CUUGCAACCUGGAAUACUUUUGCUUGUGACCGUUCAGCCUUCCCUUGCUGAGCUCUGGGCCCUCUGGGGGUGUGAUGGAGCCACAGAAGUGACAGAGUGGCAGUGGCUGAGCCUGGCAGCUGAGAUUGCACAGGACAGCAUCACUGCUGGGGUGUGUUUAGGGGCUCCUGUACCCCCCCCUUGGCCUGAGACCCCUGCUGGGGGGGGCUGCCUGGAUGCUGCCCAUCCAUCCCCUGCCAGGCACAGAUGCUCCUUAGCCUUGACGAAGCAGUCACACAACGUGCAUCAGCAUCCUGCCCGGGGGACCUGCUGGGACAUGGUCCUGGGAAGCAGAUGGGUCUCUGGGGACACAGUGCUGCUGUCACUCCCUGGCUUUGGGGACAAAU